UGGGGAAUAUUGCACAAUGGGCGAAAGCCUGAUGCAGCGACGCCGCGUGAGGGAUGACGGCCUUCGGGUUGUAAACCUCUUUCAGCAGGGACGAAGCGCAAGUGACGGUACCUGCAGAAGAAGCACCGGCUAACUACGUGCCAGCAGCCGUGGUAAUACGUAGGGUGCAAGCGUUGUCCGGAAUUACUGGGCGUAAAGAGUUCGUAGGCGGUUUGUCGCGUCGUUUGUGAAAACCAGCAGCUCAACUGCUGGCUUGCAGGCGAUACGGGCAGACUUGAGUACUGCAGGGGAGACUGGAAUUCCUGGUGUAGCGGUGAAAUGCGCAGAUAUCAGGAGGAACACCGGUGGCGAAGGCGGGUCUCUGGGCAGUAACUGACGCUGAGGAACGAAAGCGUGGGUAGCGAACAGG
rnacentral:rRNA from 1 species